GCAGGCAGCCAUAUCACCCUGUAGCCCAAGACUGGUUGCCCACUGAAGCUAAGCAGGGUUGAGCCUGCUCAGUAUCUGGAUGGGAGACCUCCUGGGAAAACUAGGUUGCUGUUGGAA
rnacentral:rRNA from 1 species